rnacentral:lncRNA from 1 species
CCUGCUCCUCCCCCUCCCCUCCCUUACCUCCCUCCCUCCCCCGCGUCUCCUUCGGUUCGCGGGGGUAUUAAAUGCAGUGCAAAGGACAGUCGGGACACAAACGCUUGGGACACCGAGACCUCUGAGAGCUGCGCAAGAUGAAUAUCCAACGAGCAACAAUAAUACUUGCAAUAAUCACCCUAUUAAUCGGCCUUGCAAUGGCGGGUCCGUUUGGAUGGUAUCGAAAACCGUUCGGAUUCGUCAGCAGAUUCAGCCGCAGGAGAUCCUUGGGUAUCUGGAGUCCUCACAUAGACGAUCGCUACUGGCACGGAUUUGACAUUGAUGGCUAUACAAGGAAUGGAUAGGAGGGUGUGGUGUGUGUGUGUGUUUCGACCACGCUUCGCUGGGAUGUUUCGUUUCGUUAUUUCGUUUGGAUGUUUUUUCUUACUGAUAUAUUAUCUGGAUGUAAAUUCGAUACUCUGUGCAAAACUAAGGUAGGGUUUCCUGCCAAUCUAGUGAUGUUUUUUUCUAUUAUAUAUAUUAUGCAGAUUGAAUCUGCUGUUGUGCUAGCUUUAAUCUUCAGUUUAAAAACUUGUAUUUCAUCAUUUAUCUGUGAAAAUGCAGGUUCUUAGUUUUAGACAAUUAUGAAAUUGCGAUUUCAUGAUAUUCUGUUAUAUCUAUUUUUGUACUGUAUGAAUGUAUUCCAUAGCAUUUAUUUAUGUUGGUGUUUAUUUCUUUAGCAAUAUGUGUUAAUUCAUCCUUUGCAAUAGGCCAUUGAAGUCACCUAUGUGCCACAUUAUUGAAAUAAAUUAAUAAUUUGC